rnacentral:lncRNA from 1 species
GUGAGACGCAGAGGGACUCUGGUUCACUCACCUGCAGGGGCUUUCAGGGCCACUGCGGCGCCUCACCGCGCCGCGCGGGCUCUCUAGAACACGGAGGGGGCGUCUCGGGGUGCCUGAAGCUUAGUCGCGGUGUCCCUUGUCGCUGAAUAGGAGAGAUGCAGGAAUCGUUGUUGCUCGCCCAACACCCCUGACUCUCGCACAAGUAGGAACAACCUGGGGCUGGCAGCACGGUAAGCUCAGGUAGCAGGGGCUGUCAGAUCCGCCGUCCCAGGUUAUUGAACCUAGGAUUUGUGCAUCCUGGGCAAAUGCUCUCGCACAGAGAUAAAUGGGCAGCCCACCCAGGCUCUUUCUACUUGGCCUUGAAAGUUGGAUGCUCUUACCAAGAUACAGAACUCCUAUGGACCAAGACAACAGUCAGUUUAGAGAUUAAGGGGCAGAACACAGGUGUGCUUGGUAACUGGAAUGGCCAAAAAAUGUUCCAGUAAUACUUUAUUAACCCUGAGGAUUUUAAAGUGCAGAGCUGUUGAAGAGAGCAUGUAUACAUCUGGCAACUAUGAAAGAUUUUCUGUUGGAUGCCAUCUGCUGUGCAGAGGAGAUGGAUAAGCCUAUGAAGCGAGAGCUGCUUUUCUUAGAAUCACAUGGGGAAAUCUUCAGAACUGUUAA